CCUAAUCCAGCAGUAUUCGGCUACCCUCAUCCCCACGCCGCCGCCGCCCCCGCCGCCCCUGCUCCUGCCCGCUGCCGCGCGACUCGGACGCAAAUCCUCCGCCCUGUUUUACGUUUUCUCUGACACACGUCGCCACCUCUCCUGCCCCAAUGGCCUGCAUCUCCUGCCCCACGCGGCCUCUCUUCUCUUUCAUGGCCUCUGCAACGCCUCGCUGGUGGACAUCAGCGCUUGCGCGACGAGUUCCCUCAUUCAUGCUACCUUUCUGUCGUUUUUCCCGAUUUUCUCAUGAACCUCGGAACAUAGCCAUAACCAAUCGAGUAAAAGACGAUGGGUCUGGUAAACCAGACAGGCAGCUACCCAUCUCUUCUGCCAACGUUAUUACUAGAUCCCAGAACAAGCAUUCUGCUGUCACCCAAGGCAUGAAAAACAUCACCAGUGGCAGAAUCUUGGAGGUUAUAGCUGGAGAUGAGAAAAGUGAUAAAGAUGAUUGUAGGGUCACCUCAGAGUUUAUAUAUGAUAAAUGUGACAUAUCGGGGCACAUUGUGAAGCUCACUGGUUAUGGUGAGGAAGACCCAAGGAAUGCAACGGAUAAUCAAAGGGGUGAAACCGUUGCCAGCAACGACAAAGAAGUCAGUGACGAUGAAGAAUAUACUAUGGAUAUUAUACUUCCAAAAAGUAGACACCGUGAUGGUUCCAUAUACAGGGACAUGGAUAGAUGGUGGAAAAGUCUUUUUCAUAUUGCUGACCGUAAUGAAACUUGGUUGGAGGCAAUGGCAUUAUCAAAUCCCCCAAACUGUAUCAUUCGAAAUGGAAGUUGUGUGAAACAUUAUCCUCGUCGCAUGCUGCAAAUUUUGUCCUUGGAAUUGGAUGAAUUUCUAGUGGAUGGUGGUUUAGUAGAGUUGUAUGGAUACAUAGCAGUGCGGGAUCAACUGGAUUCAUUGCUUAAUUAUGUUGUCAAUGUUAGCCGGGAUGAUCCCAUCGUUGUGGAGCAGCAGAACAUGGACGUAAGGUAGAUCUCACUGGACCAGCAUAGGCAGCAGCAGUCGAUGCGGGGCCACGGGUGCGAAGCAGGACCGUGGACGAGCAUCUGCAUGGGGCAGUGGAGAGCAUGGUCGUGGCAGAUCGAGAAGCCAUGAGAAUGGGGAUGGAAGGGAGAGAGGAAAGGUGGAGUCGCACAACAACCUCUAUUACCAUGUUAGAGAAUGCAAGUACACCUAUUCCAAAGCCUCAAAGGGGAUAUGUAGAAGUACAUAGUGCAAAGAUCAUCCUAUAGCCUAGGGUUCUCUCAUCAACAUGACCGGCCCUAAGCGAGGGAUAGACAUGAUGGACCUUAGUCUACUUGAAUAUGACAUGAGGAUCAAGACAGGUGGUGAAGAAAAAAAUGACCUACAGCUGAUUGAUGGUGCAUCACUCAUAGGUUCUGCAGGCGAAUGGGAUCAGCCACUUACAAUGCGCAUCCCUGGAAAUUAUGGUGCAGUUUACAUAACUUUAUCACGUUUUAAUUCAGCAGUUGAGGCGACUGUAGAGGUUCUGAUAUCAGAAGUACAAUGCAGUUUCAAUUUGUCGCUCACUUGUUUAACUAGUCAGCUGAGUAAGGAAAUCCGGCUCUUUCAUGGUGCCAUAGCUGGGUCACGAGGCUUACAGAGGUCUGUGGUUGCCAUACCAUGGAAUUCUUCGAUAAAUUUGAACUUCAAAGUUGGCGCAUUGUCAUCCAGUUCCAACCAACACUACUGUUCCUUCAUGGCCAAAGUACAUGGGCAUGAUACUCAAGAAAUAAAGACUCUUUUUGCUUUAAUCUCAGUGAAGGUGACUUGGUCGAUGUUGCCCAUUGCACUGGACUGCCUUUAUUAGGCUGAUAACUUUCUGUUUCUGUUAUGUAAAAAGUGAGUCCAAUAGAUCAACUUUACUAAACAUAGGUGUGGUAAACUUAGACUCUGAACUCAUGUAAUAAGGUAGUAUUAGUACACUCCAGUACCAGUCAAUCAGUCAGUCAGUCAUAUACAUUUUAUUCGGUCCAGCGGCCAUGGUUGACACUCCGCAGUUGUUUCACAUUUUAUUUCUGCUCUCCAUUAUUUUUAUAUAGGAAUUUCCCAGGCAUAUAGAGUGGCUUCCCUGCAACUUUGGUGGACAAGAAUUAGUAGAACGUGUGGCAACUUCGGUGGAUAUGUAUGACCAUUUUCUGAGUGAAUGUUUAUCCUGAAUCUGAUUGGAUGUU